rnacentral:rRNA from 1 species
GACGAACGCUGGCGGCGCGCCUAACCCAUGCAAGUCGAACGAGCGAGAGAGAGCUUGCUUUCUCAAGCGAGUGGCGAACGGGUGAGUAACGCGUGAGGAACCUGCCUCAAAGAGGGGGACAACAGUUGGAAACGACUGCUAAUACCGCAUAAGCCCACGACCCGGCAUCGGGUAGAGGGAAAAGGAGCAAUCCGCUUUGAGAUGGCCUCGCGUCCGAUUAGCUAGUUGGUGAGGUAACGGCCCACCAAGGCGACGAUCGGUAGCCGGACUGAGAGGUUGAACGGCCACAUUGGGACUGAGACACGGCCCAGACUCCUACGGGAGGCAGCAGUGGGGAAUAUUGCACAAUGGGGGAAACCCUGAUGCAGCGACGCCGCGUGGAGGAAGAAGGUCUUCGGAUUGUAAACUCCUGUUGUGGAGGAAGAUAAUGACGGUACUCAACAAGGAAGUGACGGCUAACUACGUG